GAUCAUGGCUCAGGAUGAACGCUAGCUACAGGCUUAACACAUGCAAGUCGAGGGGCAGCAUGAACUUAGCUUGCUAAGUUUGAUGGCGACCGGCGCACGGGUGAGUAACACGUAUCCAACCUGCCGAUGACUCGGGGAUAGCCUUUCGAAAGAAAGAUUAAUGCCCGAUGGUUUCAAGGGAUUGCAUGGUAUCUUGAAUAAAGAUUCAUCGGUAUGCGAUGGGG
rnacentral:rRNA from 1 species